GACAACUCGAACCUAGGCUACUGUUGGAACGUCUCUUUUCAACUGUGAAUCAGAAAUCAGAGCAACAAGUUGCAGUUGAACAUCAUGGAAAUCCCAAUGGCAUUUCUUUACAGCACCAUGGUACUCUUUGGGUAUUUAGGAGAAAUACUGUCAGAUUCAAUUUCUCCAGACAAAACAGAGUUUAAUUUCACGUCAGCACUGCAACACUCUCCUGCACAUACGAUGGCUCUCCAUACAGUUUCCUUUGGUAUCGGCAAAAGCCAGGAGCAGGGCCAGAGUUCCUGAAACUUAUAGUUGAGUCAACAGGUUAUGUACAAGAAGCAAACCUACCAU